UUUAAUCUCCUUUUGGGUCAUUUCAGUUCUGCACAUGGAAGAAGAAGGUCGUUUGCAAAUAAAUGCCAGGGUUGUUUUUGCUUCUAAUCGAAGGAAUCCUCGAUUGUUUAUACUUGCUGAUGUUUAAUAUAUCAUGAUAAAUGGACGUAAUUAAUCUAUGCGCAUUUAGAUAUUGUGAUGGAAUACCUGUAUAGUAUUUUUAGAUUUUUGUUAAUUGAAUUAUCAGUUAUGCAGUUUAUUUAUAUAGCAGGGAGGUAGGCAGAUAUAAAUUUGCUUACUUUUGAUAUAGUUUGUAUUUAUUGUACAGAUAUAUCUGUGUAAUUACCGAAUGACUUAAUCAUUAAAUUGAUUAAUAGGUUUUCUGUUAUACUUUGCAGUUAUCAUAAUGACUAUUUGUUGUGUGAUCUGCUACAGUUUAAUCCUGGAGUAUUGAGGUGCUUAUUUGUGAAUUACUGGAAGGUAUACAUUUAAACGAGAGGUAAAAGAGCAAGUCGAUAUUCGAAGGUAAUAUGAAUUAUUAAACUGGUAAUAUGUCUUGCAAAUUUCUGCAGGAUUAUGUGGUUUCCCAGCGAGUUUUGAUAACAGUGCAUUCCUUUGUAAUGCAGGGUUAAAAAUAGAUGUGUGUAAACAUCCAUGAUAGCAGUGUAGCAGACGAUUUCUGUAUACAUACAAAGCGGCGAGUUGUUGAUGUAGUCUGUUACACUAUAUACAUAAUAUGUAGUAUAAACACGUGGAAGCGGCUAUUACUCAUGAUACCUGCUUACAAACAGAGGGUUUAAGCAACUUUAUCAGACUUUAUCUCGCUGAAAAGCAUUUUCUUAUAAAAUGAAGUAAUUAUAUUUCCAUUUCACAUAUAUUUAACAAGUCGGCAAAGUUAAAUUUUCUUGAAAACGGAUCAUGUAAUUAAGUGCGCAUGUGGGAGUUAACUAAAUAAUGUCACGAUCAACACAUCAAAAACCCAAGGAGUUCCGCAACACAGUCCUAGUGAUACAGCCACACCGCAACGUUUCAGCCCCGCAACUGAUGAAUCUGAACCCGCAGCAACUUGGGGUUGUGGUGAGCCUUAAUUAUUGUUACAGAACACCAUUGUCCCGUGUUUGCGCCGUGACGGAGCAUUUUGGCUGAUGAUUCGCUGCACUGUCAGACAGCGUUGAACAAAAUGGUGAGUUGGAUCUGAUGUAGAGUAAUUAUAACGACUUGGGUGACCACGUUAACUUUACGACGGUUAAUGGCGAAUUCAUAGAGUAAACAAUAUUGUUACGCUCAGAUCACAUUAAUAACAGUCAAGGUCAGAUUUUUCUUGUUACGGAAGCAGACUGAUAUCUAAAAUUUCAGUAAAGGGCUCCAGCCAAGACAGAUAGAUUCAUUGCCGGUCCUUAAUGUACAUGGUAUCUAUAAUGCCCCGCUCGCAAAAAAAAAAAAAAAAAAAAAAAAAAAAAAAAAAAAAAAAAAAAGUUUUCAAGGUAUUUGUCCCAAAUUGGCUUGUGUACACGCACAUUACUGUAUGCGUUCUAAAUAAUCAUCACUUGGACCUCGUUGAAACCUUAGAUAGCCAAAACCGGCACCUGCAAGAGGGUCACUUAGACCUCCACUCCCUCACCAAAACCCCUAUUAACUUAUCAGUAUUACAAGUCUAUCGUUCUUUAUAUCCAUAUUCAUAAGUAUCAGCUGAAUUUUUAGAAGGUUCUAACAAAGGGUUUUUGAUUACACAACCAGCGCCCUAGAGUCCAAACUUCUUGUCAAACUUUAAUUUCGGUUAAUUUCCGCAAAACCCUGCUGUAGCUAAUGAGAAAGUGAUGUAGGAAGAACAGUUAAGCAGAAUAGCUGUUCUUAUUAAAGAAAUGCCUAGGCAGGGUGAUGGAGCUAUUAUUUCAUUAGUGCAAUAUUGCAAAAUGGCCAAAGUGGGCAUUAAAUCUGCCUUUCGCCUUUUGAUGGCUCAUAAUUAUGAUUUUGAAAUUAUUAGGCUUCAGAUUAGGAGUGGACUAUUUUACGGACAAGGCGUUACCUAAUUUAUUUCAUAAGCUUGUCCGAUACAAGAGGAAAUCCGAAAGGCUGUUUCAUUACUUGGAUAAUUAUAUUUGUUUGUAACUCGCUCUAAUUCAGGGAAAAGUAUGGCAAAUUUGUCUUGUUUUAUAGAUAAAUGCAAAUACCUUAACAUACCCUUAGCCAAAAAAAAAAUAAAAUAAAAUAAAUAAAUAAAUAAAUAAAUAAAUAAAAAAAAAUAAACGUAUAUCAGAUUCCAAUAAUGAUGAUUUUAGGGCUAGAAUUGCUGCAGAUUCAGAAACAGAACAGAACAGAAAUAAUAUCGUUACUAAGUAAGAAGAGCUUCGCGAGCUGCAAGCCUUUUAGUUGAUCUUUAAAUUUCUGUGACAGAGCCAUUUCCUUUCUAGACUAUUUAGUAGUGGUUUCUAUGACAUUAUGGGCAGUUUGUUAAAGUUUAUAUCAUUUUAAAGUGACCAGUUCAAUAACAGAUGAUUUGAGUGUAUGGUUAUCUAUUCUUGGCAGUUUUUAAUGGUUACUGCAGCUUCCACAACUUACACUGAUUGUUUAGUUCACUCCUAAACUUCUUUACGGUUAGCGCUGGCGUACAUGAACUAGGACAGCUGUUUUUCGAAGUAGAUGGAUAUUCUUCAUUUGGCCUUCUAGGUAGUAUAGACGUUCUUAUAUGCAAUAGCAUAACCCUUUUAGAGUUAGUGCCGAUCGUGUCAGCUUUCCUUGCAUGGACAGACGACUUCCACCUUACUGCACUAUUAGUCCAUCUUUUAAUCAAGAAUGUAGUUCGUCAUACAAAACGUCUGUAUAUUUGGGUCAUUUCUUUUAUUGUAAAAUUAAUAAUCUUGAACAUUUUACUCAGAGAUUUAUGAUACGUUCAAUGCUUAUAAUUUUUUGAUAGGUUGCACCGGACAAUUGAUAUCAGGCAACCUGUAACGCCUGAUUUACUUCGUAAACUUAUACAGGUGACAAAUACUGUUUGCUCUUCUAUAUUUGAGGCAUUAUUCUUUUCAGCAGUAUUUUCCCUGACCAUUUUUGAUUUUUAAGGAUAUGUGAACUUGUACACACGAACUCAAACUCCUCGAAUAUAAGUGCUAAAGGUCACGCAUUACGUGAGUGAGACGUUAGUAUUGUAACUAAUGGUGAACUUUGCAUAUUUCUUCUUUCAUCGAAAACCGAUCAGAGAAAGGUGAAGGAGUAGCUAUUCAUUUACUACUGACCAUUGUUCUACUUAACCCGUGUAUUAAUAGAGAGAUAAAUGGUUGUUCGACCAUCUAGUGCUUCAACCUAUUUAUUUGUGCGUUUAAACAGUCUACCCGUCAUACGCUAUCAGUUUAGUGUGUUCUAAAGAAAUCUUUGACUGCGAUUGGAGUUAAUCCCCUUCCGUAUAAACCACAUUCAUUUAGAGUAGGUGCUGCAACAGCAGCAUGACUGCUGACGAUAUUUCAGGAAUGGGGCGUUGCGCCCCGGAUUCAAGUGCAUUUAAAUCUUACAUUAGAAUCCCCUCACGUCAGCUGUUGUCACUCAGAUCUUAAGCUUAUAAGCAGUUCAUUAUUUGAACCUGCCAUCUAUUUGCCUCUUUUUUGUUGACAGUUGUUUUAAGCUUUUCAGUGCGUCCUACCCAUAUUUGGAUAGUGGGAUGUUCAAUUAUAAAGUUGGUAUUUCGUUACGACAAGGAAUAAGCUGAGGGUUCUCAACUUGUAAUGCAGCGUCAUGAUGCGACCAUACUGUGGCAGAGUCAGAGUGGUAUGGAAUGGCGGCAAGUUAAACCAUUAAUCUUACACUUGUUUCAUUUUGAAGACAAUCAAGGUAUCAUUGUUAUUCACUGUGUAAUUCGCUCAUUUUUCAUUAGAGAGUGCUAGAAAACUCAUUAAUAAUUUCGCUGCUCAUUUGUUUUAAACAGCAUUGGUAGAUACAUUCGUUAUCCAGAAAUCGUCGAAUCCGUGACGUGUCUCUUCGACAGGGAUGGGUGCAGUUGUCCAAUUUUGGAAAUAUUUUGUCUUUUUUAUUCACUCUGCAACACAAGCUUCAGUGCUUUCUGGCAGUAAAUUAUUAAGGCACAGCUUCUCAGGCAGGGUUUGGUUCGCUAUACUGUUGGCGGUUGUCAAGAGUUUUCUACGUUGUUCCAAAUUCUUGACAUGUGGCGGUUAGGUCAGCCUCCACCAGUAUAUCUUAACGUUGUGUAAUAAGAAGUUUGUUUGUUUCAAGUAUACUGUAUAAGGACUCUGUUCCCAGGGCCUCGACAUCUGCAUUUUAACCAUAUACUUUAUAUCAUAUGUAUUUGUAUAUUGACAUUUAUGUGAAGCUGUGACCAAUUUCUGCCAAACAUUAAUCAAAACCAAAUUAGUUAUUAAUUGCUAUAGUAAAAUUGUUAAUAGUAAAAGUAAUGUAUUCAUA
rnacentral:lncRNA from 1 species